rnacentral:rRNA from 1 species
UACAGAGGUCUCAAGCGUUGUUCGGAUUCAUUGGGCGUAAAGGGUGUGUAGGUGGCGCCGUAAGUCGGGUGUGAAAUCUCGGAGCUCAACUCCGAAAUUGCACUGGAUACUGCUCUGCUAGAGGGCUGGAGAGGAGAUCGGAAUUCACGGUGUAGCAGUGAAAUGCGUAGAUAUCGUGAGGAAGACCAGUGGCGAAGGCGGAUCUCUGGACAGCUCCUGACGCUGAGGCGCGAAGGCUAGGGGAGCAAACGGG